UACGGGGGGGGGUAAGCGUUGUUCGGAAUUACUGGGCGUAAAGGCUCGUAGGCGGCCAACUAAGUCGGACGUGAAAUCCCUCAGCUUAACUGGGGAACUGCGUCCGAUACUGGAUGGCUUGGAUUCGGGAGAGGGAAUGCGGAAUUCCCAAGGUGUAGCGGUGAAAUGACGUAGAGUAUCUGGAGGAAUACCGGUGGCGAAGGCGGCAUCCUGGACCGGCAUUGACG
rnacentral:rRNA from 1 species